rnacentral:rRNA from 1 species
UGGGGAAUUUUGGACAAUGGGGGAAACCCUGAUCCAGCCAUCCCGCGUGUGCGAUGAAGGCCUUCGGGUUGUAAAGCACUUUUGGCAGGAAAGAAACGUCGCGGGUUAAUACCCCGCGAAACUGACGGUACCUGCAGAAUAAGCACCGGCUAACUACGUGCCAGCAGCCGCGGUAAUACGUAGGGUGCAAGCGUUAAUCGGAAUUACUGGGCGUAAAGCGUGCGCAGGCGGUUCGGAAAGAAAGAUGUGAAAUCCCAGAGCUUAACUUUGGAACUGCAUUUUUAACUACCGGGCUAGAGUGUGUCAGAGGGAGGUGGAAUUCCGCGUGUAGCAGUGAAAUGCGUAGAUAUGCGGAGGAACACCGAUGGCGAAGGCAGCCUCCUGGGAUAACACUGACGCUCACGCACGAAAGCGUGGGGAGCAAACAGGAUUAGAUACCCUGGUAGUCCACGCCCUAAACGAUGUCAACUAGCUGUUGGGGCCUUCGGGCCUUGGUAGCGCAGCUAACGCGUGAAGUUGACCGCCUGGGGAGUACGGUCGCAAGAUUAAAACUCAAA